rnacentral:rRNA from 1 species
UAACCUGCCCAAGAGAUCGGGAUAACACCUGGAAACAGAUGCUAAUACCGGAUAACAACAGAUGAUGCCUAUCAACUGUUUAAAAGAUGGUUCUGCUAUCACUCUUGGAUGGACCUGCGGUGCAUUAGCUAGUUGGUAGGGUAACGGCCUACCAAGGCGAUGAUGCAUAGCCGAAUUGAGAGACUGAUCGGCCACAUUGGGACUGAGACACGGCCCAAACUCCUACGGGAGGCAGCAGAC